rnacentral:lncRNA from 1 species
CAUGCGCCAACAGCCGAGAAUUGCGCUUAAAUUUUGCCCCAAGAAGCUGCCGCCGAGUGGGCCGCCCUUCACUGUGGGCUUCACGCCGCUGCCGCGCGUGUCAGUUGAACCUCUGCGUCGUACCGUCUAUGCUCUGGCAGCGAUAGUCGACCACAUCACCAACCCCGAAAGAGCCACGGAUUCCGGCGCUGGCUUCUCUUGUACGGCGUGCUUCGAAGCUUUCUGUCGCCGCGGCUGCACCACAUACGGCCAUGGACUUCUGCAACUGCGGUUACGGGACUCUCUUUUGCUCCGGAAUUCUCGCACGGCCCACUACAGCUUCCGGAAUACGUAUUACGCGACGGGCGGCGGCCAUUCCAUCCGGUCUCAAACCUGAGCUGUCACGCCUGAUGCCAACGACGCCGUUGCUGCCGACAAGUCUCAAGUCGCGUCUGCCGCGGUAUUUUCUUUUGUGCGCGUUUCCCAACGAACGGACUGACCAUACCAUUCGACCGAGGGACAACGAGGCAACUGUCGUCGGCGGCUGCGUCAACUACCUUGUGAGGUGCAGCUCUUGGAACCAAGUGACCGUGGCACUACCCCCGAAGGACAACGCAGCAACUGAUCUCCGCUGCGUAGCCUCGGCAUCUAAACGCCGAGGUGGGAAAAUUUAGCUUGGGAGGGCGGCUCGGCCUUUAACUUCCUCGUCAAAAACUGAUUGACACAACAAACAUUGGCAAAUUAUCUGCAGUUAACUGUAGUGCUUGAUUACGCACGAGCUUCGGUCGCAGCCACAUAGGGUCGUCGACGUGACGGAAGCUGAGAGGACAGGGUGGGGCGAUUCUAGCUUCAGGCUGAGCUAACACUAGGAAGGUAGCUGGCGCUGCGCGUAGGCAACAGCUGCAGGGGUCCUCUCUCGUUUGCGACACGGACGUCGGCCCAUUCUGGGCGCUAUCGCUUCACGGCCCCAUUCCGCGCCCACGCGCGCGAAAAAGGGCGCGGAAUGUGGAGUCGCGGAAGUGGUGGCAUCCGGAAUUAGUGUCAGGGUGUUAACCAGUGGCGUAUUGCUUCCAGUCCAUCUAGCUACACUGAAGCACGGACGUUGCCUUCGGUCCGCGGCGCGGCGCGCUGUGGCCAGAGUAUGUGGUGACUUUUUUUUUUCUUCUCCAUUCCUUGUGCCACGUUGUUUUUGUCGCUCGACAUGCGGACAAUGUUUGACUGGUUCAUCUCCCUCGUACGGCUCGUGCGACGAUGCUUGUCAUGGUGAGUACCUACUUUCGGGUUAUAUUCGAAUUUGAAGAGCUGCCCUUUUAUUUUUAGGUACGCACCCUAGGCCGCCGCUUCCAGCGCACUCCAGCACCGUCCCUGCGCCCAGCAGUGUCCCGGACGCUUGACGUUCAUUUCCUGUCGUCCCGCGGCCGACCGUCUGGGCAGUUCUCCUGCAGCCACACAGCUACUGGUUUCCUGGCCAAUGAGAAAACCUUCAUGAGCCACCCUGAAGCACGUCGCAUGCGCUUCCCCACCCUUGGCCGUCAGUCACGUGCGACAGAUGUUCCUACGCCCUGCCGUGUCCCAGACGGAUGACGUUCAUCGCCUGUCUCGCGGCCGACUGUCUGGGCACUUCUCCUCCAGCCACACAGCUACUGGUUUCCUGGCCCAUGAAAACAC